GCAAGAAAGACAUAAGCAACAUAGAGUAGCUACCCACGUGCGUAAUAAAAGAUUGGUGUGGGGGCGUCCAGAGAUUCGUGCCCUAUGCAGAUGGCACACCUGGUCCUAACUUUUUUCGCACCCGAUGUAGAUCAGACACUGCUCCCUGCUAGCUCAUCUAUAAAAAUCUUUGCAUUUCACUGUGCAUCAGCAACCUAUUUUUCUGGGACCCCUCUCUGUAACAGAGAGCUAUUCUUUUUCUUUCAGCUAUUAAAUUUCCACUCUUAACCUUACCCUUUGUGUGUCCGCAUCCUUGAUCUCUGUGGCUGUGAGACAAUGAACCUUGGGUGUCACCCCAGACAAUGAGGCCACUUCACUAGCAGCCACCUCUGGCUUCCUCAAGCAGCUGGCAACCCCAUCGGGACUCCUCUUCCCCUUUUCCACCACACAGAUUUCCCAUUCCUCUCCCUGCCUUUGAGUCUCUGCCAAACACUAUUGAGCUGCAUGAAAGAACCUUAAAUGCAUAUUACUAACUGAAAGAAACUGAUCUGAAAAGGCUGCAUACUGUAAGAUUCCAACUGUGUCACAUUCUGGAAAAGGCAAAACCAUGGAGACAGUAAAAAGAGCAGUGGUUGGCAAGGGUUGGGGGAGAGAGGGAUGAACAGGCAGAGCACAGGGGAUUUGCAGGACUGUGAAACUACUCUGUAUGAUAUGACAGUGGUGGAUAUGGCAUUAGACAUCUGUUCAAACCCACAGAAUGUACUGAGGACUAAACUGACAUUUUUUCUCUCUUGCCCAAAUUCCUAUCUAAGGGGCCUGGGGAGUCAGGCCCUAUAAACUAACAUCUCAACAGAUGAGCUUUAUUUAACCUCAUAUAUAACACAGCUUACUUUCCUACCUGACUCUAGUAUAACAUCCUAUGACAGAUAAAGAAUGAAAUAAAAAUAUUUUACCCCAAAAUAGGUGGUUUUUUUUUUGCAUAUUUUGAAAUGGCCCUGCAACGCUAUCUCUUGUGGGGAAAAUUUGCAUCUGUAAAGAAUCUCUAUUACCAUAACUAGCUCUUUUCCCUUCCGGGCCCUCCCAGUCCUCUAGAGAUUGGCUGAAAGUCUAGCACCUUUUAAAAGUCUAAAUAGGAAACAUUGGCCAUCUAUUGUCUCUAAGGGCGACCCCCAUGAGACUUCAUCUACAUGGUAAGAACCUUGGUCUCCACAACCCCUUAUCUUGACCCAGAUACUCCUUUGUAUUGAUUGCAGGUUUUUAGAUAAUAACUGUUUCAAUCAAUUGCCAAUCAGAAAAUCUUUGAAUCCACCUAUGACCUGGAAGCCUUCCUCCCACCGACCCCCUUCGAGCUGUCCCACCUUUCUGGACUGAAUCAGUACAUCUCACAUGUACUGAUUAAUGUCUCAUGUCUCCUUAAAAUGCAUAAAACCAAACUGUAAAACAACCGCUUUGGGCACAUGUUCUCAGGGCCUCUUGAGACUGUACCUUGGGUCACUUACAUUUGGCUCAGAAUAAAUCUCUUCAAAUAUUUUACAGAGUUUGGCUCUUUUCACUGACAGUGCAACACCAAGAGUGACCCUAAUGUGAAUCACAGACUUUGGGUGAUAAUGAUGUGUUGGUGUGCGUUUAGCAGUAGUAACAAAUGCGCCCUGCUGGUGCAGGACAUGGACAGUAGGGCAGGCUGUGCGUGUGUGUGUGUGCGCACACGUGUGGGGCUGGUGAGGGGUGCAUAUGAGAGCUCUCUGCACACUCAGCUCAAUUUUGCUGUGUAGGUGUAGAAAAAAUCUUCCCUCCACCCAUCUUAGGUUUAUUGUCUUGGCCCUACAAAUUUAGACCAAUGAAAGCCAGGUUAACAAGAGAAAACAACACAUUUAUUAAUUCGUGCAUCACAAAUACACAUGGGAGAGCUCAGUGAUAAGUAAUAACUCAAAAAGGUGGUUAGAACUUGUGCUUAUUAGCACCCUAAUGAGAGAGCAAUGUAUUUGUAGAGAGGUGGAAAGACAAAGGAAGGGGACCUUGAGCUUCUUUGGAUAACAAGUUGUGGGAAGGUAGAUAUAUGGGGGAAGCUGACAGAUAAGGCUGAUUUGGCGUGCUUGUGAUGUUGAUUUUUCUGGUGCCAUCUCUGGGCUGGUAAGAGCUAUCCUGCCCUUCUGGUAGAUGGGGGCAGGGCAGAGAGUUUGUCCUGUGUCUACUUGGUCUCAGUUGUCUUCAGCUGAAAAUAAUCUUUAUGUCAGAGUGGCAUAUUUUGGGAUGGCAUAUUCUAAGCCCCUUCAGCUGUGAAUUCAAAACAACUCUAAAAAGUUAAUUAAAAAUUGUAUUCCUAUAACAUGGCCCUUGCUGGUGGGGCUCAGGACACACCACCCCAAAAUAUGACAGUACAAAACCAGAUAUGUGGACACAAAAUAUACUUCUUAGGCAAAUUUUGAUCUUGUUACUCUAAGAAAUUGCAGACACAGGAGUAGCUCUGAAAAACUGCCCUGUUGUAAAAGAAAUUUAUAACUAUAAAAUAAAUCUACAUUAGUAAAGUAUCUGUAUCAGGAAGAGGGCUGAUUCCAGACAACUUCUAUCACCCCCAGAGACUUUUCUCUGCAGAACCAGACACCUUUUAUUCACCAGACAUUGCCUCCCCUCACCCUCCCAGAACUUGUGCCCAUUCCCAACGAGCCCCAAGCCCUUGUUCCUUUCUGUAACUCAGGACACUAUCUAAGCUUCAUUCAUCUGGCCCUUCUCCUGGUCUAUAGUUUGGGGGACUCCUGUGCAUAUAGAUGUAAUUAAAAUGGUUAUUCUCCUAUUAGCCUUUCUUAUGUCAAUUUAAUUCCUAGCCCAGCCAAAGAACCUAGAAGUGGAAGGAGAAGCCAUUUUUCCCUCCACUACCUGCUUUUUAAGAUCCCAGUUUGUUGGAACCACUUCAGAGUUAACCCUCUGUAAAUACUUGUCAGUCCUCAUCUUUUCAUUGUUUUCACCUGACAUUCACUCUUUAUAUCACUCUUAUGUCCCCCAGCAGGUUGCUCAAGAAACUCUCCCUUGCUGUGGACACUGCUGACUUCUGUAAAAUACAUUUACAGGAGGCCAUUGGUUUGGACUGAACUUCUGCACUAGGCCCAACAGACUGAGAUGGAGCAUGGACCCCUAUUAGAGGCCUGCUGGGCCUCCUCCAAGCAUGGAAACAAAGGAAAAUCUUGAUUUCCUUCAAGGGAAAUUCCAGUUCCAUGAUGGAAAAUCUAAUGGCCACUUUCCAUUUACCAUGUCCAAGGAGCAGUCCAGGUAAGUGACUCCUUUUGUUUCUGGGGUCCAUCUUGCUCCUGGCUCCUGACGCCGAUGCUUCUCCUUCUCAUCCUGCCUUUCUGGAUGCUCCUUCCCAAGGUUUGCCAGCACGCUCACAACCCCUGCUUGGGAUUUAAAAUCUGAAGUGUGUCAUAACUCACCCCUGGACUCUGUUAUUCUUUUACUGGUAUGCCAGAAAAAAAGAACCCCAAGCCCUCUGGGUGACCAAAUUGAUAUUUAAGGCACUAAUUAUUAACUCUAUUCUUACAACCUCCAGAUUUUAUCUCCACUCAGAAUUAUAUGUACAGCUGCCUAGCUGAUUUCCAGACUGAAAUGCCUCUUUGACAUUACAGAUUAAAACUGAUCCCACUCUAUAGUCUAGGUCAUCUUCCUUGACUUGGCUGUGACCCAGACUUACUGUCUAAAUAAAUGGUGUGACGGCCCACCUAGGGACUCCAUUCCAGACUCUAGGAGAGUUUCUUCAGCCUGUAUCCCCCCACAUCAUAAACAAUCCAUUACCGAGUCCUGUUCAUUCUUCCAAUACAUCUCUCCAAAGGCUUCCCUCCAUUUCCACAAUGACCCCAACUGUUUCGCCACUCGCUCCUUGAAGAACCUCUGCAUUUGUUUCUGGCUUUUGGCUACGAGGAAUAAGCCUGCUGAGAACAUUCAGCUCCAGGAUUUUGUGUGAAUGAACAGAGAAUUUACAGCUUACCGAGCCAGGCCAUUGCACUUUUGGACAACUCUACUAAAUGGAUUUUCCUCUUGCCAUCGCAUAACUGCUACCUGCCACCAGAGCCUUAGAAAUACAUGGUUUUCCAUCAAGCACUCAUGGAACACGUAACUGUGGGCACUUCUGGGGGGUUCAUGAUGGAUCCUCCAAGAUCAACUAAAUAUAAAACAAGCUCCCAGCUGAGGCAGCUGCUCUCGCCUCUUCUUUCACUCGCUCCUGGCAGCACAGCAAUCCCUGCAAGUUACUCGGACCCUCAGGACUCCUCGUUCAAGUGCAAUGGAAGACCAUGCAGAUGGCAGGGAAAGCCAAAGAAAGCUCAGGUGGCCCAUCAUGGCUGUCAUCGGUGGAAGAAUGUCUCUAACACUGAACUUUAGUAAUGACAUGCUCUCCCCUUGUCCUGGACCUUCAUUUUAAAAUAGAGCAUUCAGGUGGGAGGGGAACCACAGGGGCACUUCGAUCCUGAACCUGCUCUGGGCAGUGGCUCUAGCCUUUGGGAUUUUGUGCUCAUUUACUUUUUUUUGAGAUGGAAUCUUGCUCUGUCACCCAGGCUGGAGUGCAGUGGUGUAAUCUCGGCUCACUGCAACCUCCAUCUCCUGGGUUCAAGCAAUUCUCCUGCCUCAGCCUCCUGAGUAGCUGGGAUUACAGGUGCACGCCACCAUGCCCAGCUAAUUUUUGUAUUUUUAGUAGAGAUGGGGUUUCACCAUCUUGGCCAGGCUGGUCUCAAACUCUUGACCUCAAGUGAUCCAACUGUCUCGGCCUCCCAAAGUCUUGGGAUUACAGGCAUGAGCCACCAUGCCUGGCCUGUCCUCAUUUACUUAAAGAGCCGUUACUCACCCCCAAUUCCUCAUAUAUAGUGGCCAACUUCUUUGAAAUCCAGAGACAUUUCCGAAUGCUCAACCCUUUUUUCACCAAUUCUAUCUGUUUCUAAAAGAAGUGUCACUCAGGAUGGAUAUGCUUUUAGAGAAACACUGUGACAAAGACCCUUUGCUCCAGAGGAAGGACCUGCAGUGGCCCCAGGCCGUGGCUCCAGCAUCACUUGAGACAGUGUGAACAUUUGGACACAAUUAAAAAGAGGACACUUAAUCAAAGAGCACACUUACAAAGGAAAGGGGCAGGAAAGCCGGGAGGCAGGAGGUACGGGACCCCACGUGGGACAGGCAGCUGUGUGUUGUUGGUACCACCUUCCUGCCAUGGCUUUCCUACAGCAGCAGAGAGAAAGCCCAUUUCUGCUCUCUGCUGCAAGGCUCUCUGGAUGGAAGGCCCAGUUCCACAGGAAGGAAAUCCUGGUGGCUGAGGCGUGGCUGUGCAUAGCCUGGAUGGCUCAGCCUGUGGCCGGCAGGCACCCAGGGCCCCUGGUGGGGGUCUCACCAGCUUGGGAUGGCCUCAGCUCCCAGGCUGCAGCCCCCACUGCCAUUUCGAAGGUGAGAAAGAACUAUCUGUGUGGACCUCUCAUCCCGCACAGUGAGGGAGGCGGGAGCUGGGUGGUGCAGGGAAUUAGGAAAGGCAAACCUGGGACCUGCUGUGCCCUGCAGUGCAGUUUCCAGAGGGGAGAAGCCCGGGGUGGCAGACGUUUGCAUUUGGAUAUUAGAAAUGCUCUUCUUGGCCGGGCGCGGUAGUUCACGCCUGUAAUCCCAGCACUUUGAGAGGCCGAGGCGGGCAGAUCAUGAGGUCAGGAGAUCGAGACCAUCCUGGCUAACACGGUGA